rnacentral:rRNA from 1 species
GGUUAAGCGACUAAGCGUACACGGUGGAUGCCCUGGCAGUCAGAGGCGAUGAAGGACGUGCUAAUCUGCGAAAAGCGUCGGUAAGGUGAUAUGAACCGUUACAGCCGGCGAUGUCCGAAUGGGGAAACCCAGUGCAAUUCGUUGCACUAUCGUUAACUGAAUACAUAGGUUAACGAGGCGAACCGGGGGAACUGAAACAUCUAAGUACCCCGAGGAAAAGAAAUCAACCGAGAUUCCCCCAGUAGCGGCGAGCGAACGGGGAGCAGCCCAGAGUCUGAAUCAGCUUGUGUGUUAGUGGAACGGUCUGGAAAGUCCGACGGUACAGGGUGAUAGUCCCGUACACCAAAAUGCACAGGCUGUGAACUCGAAGAGUAGGGCGGGACACGUGGUAUCCUGUCUGAAUAUGGGGGGACCAUCCUCCAA